rnacentral:rRNA from 1 species
AGGCAGCAGUGAGGAAUAUUGGUCAAUGGCCGCAGGGCUGAACCAGCCAAGUCGCGUGAGGGAUGACGGUCCUAUGGAUUGUAAACCUCUUUUGUCAGGGAGCAAAGGACGCCACGUGUGGCGUUUUGCGAGUACCUGAAGAAAAAGCAUCGGCUAACUCCGUGCCAGCAGCCGCGGUAAUACGGAGGAUGCGAGCGUUAUCCGGAUUUAUUGGGUUUAAAGGGUGCGCAGGCGGAAUGUCAAGUCAGCGGUAAAAUUUCGGGGCUCAACCCCGUCGUGCCGUUGAAACUGGCGUUCUUGAGUGAGCGAGAAGUAUGCGGAAUGCGUGGUGUAGCGGUGAAAUGCAUAGAUAUCACGCAGAACUCCGAUUGCGAAGGCAGCAUACCGGCGCUCAACUGACGCUCAUGCACGAAAGCGUGGGUAUCGAACAGGAUUAGAUACCCUGGUAGUCCACGCAGUAAACGAUGAAUACUAACUGUCCGGGCCGAUUGAGGUCUGG